rnacentral:rRNA from 1 species
GGUGAACGCUGGCGGUAGGCCUAACACAUGCCAGUCGAACGGCAGCACAGUAAGAGCUUGCUCUUACGGGUGGCGAGUGGCGGACGGGUGAGGAAUACAUCGGAAUCUACUUUUUCGUGGGGGAUAACGUAGGGAAACUUACGCUAAUACCGCAUACGACCUACGGGUGAAAGCAGGGGAUCUUCGGACCUUGCGCGAUUGAAUGAGCCGAUGUCGGAUUAGCUAGUUGGCGGGGUAAAGGCCCACCAAGGCGACGAUCCGUAGCUGGUCUGAGAGGACGAUCAGCCACACUGGAACUGAGACACGGUCCAGACUCCUACGGGAGGCAGCAGUGGGGAAUAUUGGACAAUGGGCGCAAGCCUGAUCCAGCCAUACCGCGUGGGUGAAGAAGGCCUUCGGGUUGUAAAGCCCUUUUGUUGGGAAAGAAAAGCAGCAGGUUAAUACCCCGCUGUUCUGACGGUACCCAAAGAAUAAGCACCGGCUAACUUCGUG